CGUGAGUAACCUGCCUUGGAGUGGGGAAUAACAGUUGGAAACAACUGCUAAUACCGCAUGAUGCAGUUGGGUCGCAUGGCUCUGACUGCCAAAGAUUUAUCGCUCUGAGAUGGACUCGCGUCUGAUUAGCUAGUUGGUGAGGUAACGGCUCACCAAGGCGACGAUCAGUAGCCGGACUGAGAGGGUGAACGGCCACAUUGGGACUGAGACACGGCCCAAACUCCUACGGGAGGCAGCAG
rnacentral:rRNA from 1 species